rnacentral:rRNA from 1 species
GUGUCAGCAGCCGCGGUAAUACGAAGGGGGCUAGCGUUGCUCGGAAUCACUGGGCGUAAAGCGCACGUAGGCGGGUCUUUAAGUCAGGGGUGAAAUCCUGGAGCUCAACUCCAGAACUGCCUUUGAUACUGAGGAUCUUGAGUUCGGGAGAGGGUAGUGGAAUUCCGAGUGUAGAGGUGAAAUUCGUAGAUAUUCGGAAGAACACCAGUGGCGAAGGCGGCUAUCUGGACGGUUUCUGACGCUAAGACGCGAAAGCCGGGGGAGCGAACGGGAUUAGAUACCCGGGUAGUCC